ACUGCAGGUCGCCUUAUCGCCGUGUGCAGAACUCGUUUCGGCAUCUAGUUAAAUUUUGUUUCAAAGUUUAAUCGAUUCUGAAUCAAGUUCAGAACAAGGAGGAAAGUCCGGACACCAUAGCACAAACAUAGCGGGUAACACCCGUCGUCAUGCCCUAGGCAUGAAAGGACCAGUGCAACAGAAAGCAAGUACAGUACGGCUGUAGUGAAAUCGGUAAACUCUAUGUGGUGAAAUGUUAUGUAAACCAAGGCUCGAGGGUUGUGCGCCCAAUCUUGGAGGGUAAACAGAUGGAGGUUUUUGGUAACGAAAAUCCUAGAUAAAUGAUAGGGCAUUCAAUUUCCAUUGAAUGACAGAACCCGGCUUAUAGACCUGCUUUUUUU
rfam:Psychroflexus torquis ATCC 700755, complete genome.